rnacentral:rRNA from 1 species
CAGUCGCCGCGGGAAAACGGAGGGUGCAAGCGUUAUCCGGAUUUAUUGGGUUUAAAGGGUCCGUAGGCGGACUUAUAAGUCAGUGGUGAAAGCCUGUCGCUUAACGAUAGAACUGCCAUUGAUACUGUAAGUCUUGAGUAUAUUUGAGGUAGCUGGAAUAAGUAGUGUAGCGGUGAAAUGCAUAGAUAUUACUUAGAACACCAAUUGCGAAGGCAGGUUACCAAGAUAUAACUGACGCUGAGGGACGAAAGCGUGGGUAGCGAACAGGAUUAGAUACCCCCGUAGUCCCUGUCUCUUAUAC